rnacentral:tRNA from 1 species
GCCGAACUAGUUCAGUUGGGAGAGGGUUAGACUGAAGAUUUAAAGGUUCCUGGUUCGAUCCCGGGUUACGAUA